AUGAGUCGCCGACGUUCCUUGCCGGCGAAGGCGCCCCCGCUGGAGGACGAGGACCUCCUCGGUGAGAUCCUCCUCCGCCUCCCUACACAGCCAUCCGCGCUCCCCCGUGCAUCUUCUGUAUGCAAGCGCUGGCGCCGCAUCCUCUCCGACCCCGAGUUCCUCCGCCGCUUCCGCGGGCACCACCAGAAACCUCCUCUGCUCGGCUUCUUCGAGAGAUGUGUUGACUGCAGGCCCUUCUUCCUUCCCAUACUAGACCCGCCUGACCGCAUUCCUGCCGCUCGCUUCUCCUUGUCAAGCAUCAGAAUACCCUACCAUGAGCGAUGGGACUUCCAAGGCUGCCGGCACGGGCUUGCCGUCCUGAUCAACCAGUUUCAGCGCAAGGUUGCCGUGGUGGAUCCCAUCACUGGCCAAGAGCACCGCAUUGCUUUUCCAUUAAUGGGACUCGACAUAGAUAAAAACAGGUAUCACUGCUGGUACGCUGCGAUACUGUGCACCGACGCUGAAGAUGGACAUGUGCACGGAGAUUGCUUCUCGAGCACGUUCAAAUUGGCUUUGAUCUGCAACUGGGACACACAUAUAUUCGCUUGCCUCUACGAAUCGACGUCUCGUGUGUGGGGAGAUACUGUCUAUGCGCAGUCCAUAUAUAGCGUAGAUUUUUCGAGACCAAGCGUCCUAGUUGGGAAUGUGCUUUACUGGUUACUUGGCCGAGGUGGUGUCCUUGCGUUUGACUCUGAAGCGCAGAGUAUUGGUGUGAUUAAGAAACCGGCUGACCCCCAUAUUACUUCGGAGUACUACAUCAUCCAGCUCUUACGGACAAAGGAUAAUGGACUUGGUUGCGCUGUUCUGGCAAAACAUAUCAUCAAGCUAUGGGAGAGGAAAUUGAACAGAGGUGGUGUCCAUGGAUGGGUGUUGCAGCAGAAAACCAUUCAAUUGGAGGAGCACUUUCCACACACAAUGCAAAGUGACAUCACCAGUGUGCUGAUGGUGGGAUAUGAUGAGGACACAAAUGUGAUUGUUCUUUCUACGAUGAUUGGUGUAUUUAUGCUCCAUGUUGAUACGUUGCAAGUCAAAAAUAUUAUGAAAAUGGAUAGCAUAUGCUACAUCUUAUUUUAUCCCUAUAGAAAUUUCUAUACCACAGGGGUGUUUCCUGAGGAGAUGCUGGAGCUGUGA
rnacentral:rRNA from 1 species